UUUCCAUGACGCUUUAGGGCAACACCGACCGUUAGCUGGGUCACGUGGCUUUACCGGAAGUUGUAAGGGCGACGCGCCACGACGCGCGCGCCCUCGUCUUCCGUCCCAGGUCCCAAUCCUCACCUGCAAUAAAGUCCUUUCCCCUCGUUUUAGAAAAUUCCCAUUUUUUCCCUCUAUCUCUCUGUUUCCGUUCCAUCGGUUCGGUUUAGCCGUUCCUCGCACCUUUCUUUUUGCCUGCUGUUGCUCAAUCUUUCUAUAUUUAUAAAUCGAUUUUGCAAUUGUAUUUUCUUCCGAAGCGUGAAGGUCGCCCUGAACUAUCCUCAACACGCUACAGAAUUGUGUCCCAUAACAAGGAACGAUCCAUAGUUAACAACUCAUUUGUUGUUUAUCGGAGAUUGGGUAGAUAGAAGAGUAUCCCGUAUCAAACGUGGUAACUUCAAAACACCCUGUAUAUGCAAAUACAGUAGGCAAUAGGUCGAGUGUCCUUGAUUUUCUCGGCCAAUUCUUGAACGCUGUUACUGGAAUAAGGGGCUUUGCCGAAAAGGCACUCGUACAUGAUAACACCGACGCUCCAUAGAUCGACGCGGGCGUCGUAUUUCCGUUUCAACAAGAUUUCCGGCGCCAUGUAGAGGGGGGAGCCCCGAAUAGCAAAUUUUUGUUCGGAAUUGGAUAGGUACUGGGCGAGACCGAAGUCUGAAAUGAAAAGAUCGG